UACGUAGGGGGCAAGCGUUGUCCGGAUUUAUUGGGCGUAAAGGGCGCGUAGGCGGCGCAACAAGUCACUUGUGAAAUCUCCGGGCUUAACCCGGAGCGGUCAAGUGAUACUGUCGUGCUAGAGUGCGGAAGGGGCUACUGGAAUUCUCGGUGUAGCGGUGAAAUGCGUAGAUAUCAAGAGGAACACCUGAGGUGAAGACGGGUUGCUGGGCUGACACUGACGCUGGAGGCGACGAAAGCUAGGGUAGCAAACGGG
rnacentral:rRNA from 1 species